GUCCUCCCAGCAGACUGUUUGCUUCUGUUUAAGAGCUGCCUUUGGUGAGGAGAUGAGGGUGAGCUGCCCAGCCUGGGGAAGCUGGUGAUGGCAAGGGAAAGCCUGGGGGAGCUGGCACAAACCUUAAUUUGAUCUCAUGCCCAGGCCUAUUAACCCUUCUCCUAAUGGUCCCCCCACUGAGGAGUCGGAAACACAUUUCCUUCCAUCCUGUCCCUGACUUGAUGCCAUCACAGUCUUUUAAAAGAUUUACAUCAAAGAUGUUGAAUUGUGAAACAGAUUUCUAGAAAAAAAGAGGAUCAAAGUUUGCUUCCAUAGUGCCCUCAGCUGAGCUGAGGAGAGUGCUUGGAGAGUUUAGGGUGGAGGUGUCUGUCAGCGUGGGGUUUCUGAGGAUUUAUACUUAUGGAGCUAAAAGAACUACUUUAUCUGUGCCUAUUGCCUCUUAGAAUGCAGUGUGAAAACUCCUUUUGCCUCCUUUGGGAAAACAUUGUGGGUGUUAUUUCCCUGUAUUUGGGCCUGAGAUUGUAGAUGACAGAUUUUGCAAGGAGACUCAAUUAGCUCUUAGGUAAAUCUUGCUGGAGACCACUUUUAUAAAAUAAAUUAUUCAGGAGGGUUAUUUCAGUUUAUAAGGAACCUGGGAAACUUUUGUCUGAUCACUGGCAUGAGGGCCAAAACUGAUGUGUUUUAAUUUUGUCUCUGAAGCUGAGUCCAUCUCUGGCACUGGAAAACCUGUUUCCCUUUCUUCAUCAGCUUUCCCCACCUUCAAGUCUUUGUUUCAACAGUUCCAGAGCUUUGUACCAUAGCGGAAGACUCACAGGAGGCAGAUAUUCCUAAUGAGGGAAUGUUUUGCUGUUUUGCAAAUCCUAUAUGAGUUCUUUUGCUUUGGAGAGAAGCCAAGAUGAUACAUGCACUUCUAUUACUGGAAGAUUUCUCUCUAUGUGUCUAGAUUUACAUGAAGUACUUCUUACUUCUUGUGAGUAUUUUAUUUCCUUUUUAAAAUUUUAUUGCUACAAAAAUGCUUCAAAAAUUUAGUUCUGUCUCCAAAUUACUGUACAGUAAGUGCAUUAUUAUAAUUGCUAUUUCCCAGAUGAGGAAAACCAGUCUGAUAAAGAUUAAAGUUCCAAUUCAAGGAGAGGCAGAAACUUAAGCACAUCUUUUAGUGUUCCUGUGAUUUUGGCAUAAGCAAUUGUGAAGAGUUUCUCUGGGAUGCUGUCAGAGGUGAAAACAGAAUAUGCCUUGAAUUGCAGACAGUACCUCAGCCACAGUACUGCAAAUUUUUCUUGUUAUACUUGAUAAAAAAUGUGAUGCAAUGGGAUUGUCAUAGAGGAGAGAGAUUUAUUGUUGUAGCUAGUUACUCAAUAUAUAUACUAUGGUAUUGAACCUCAUUUUAGCAUGGAGGUCAAUGAAGUUCUAACAUUUUCCUUUAGCUUUGUAGGUUUCUGCAGAAGUGUGCAGCAUCUUUUCUUUGGUCAGGUGCCUUGGAAAUAAAGUCAGAGAGAUAAAUCUGCA
rnacentral:lncRNA from 1 species